GAGUUUGAUCAUGGCUCAGGAUGAACGCUAGCGGCAGGCUUAACACAUGCAAGUCGAGGGGUAGGUUACUUCGGUAAUUGAGACCGGCGCACGGGUGCGUAACGCGUAUACAAUCUACCUUUUACAGAGGGAUAGCCCAGAGAAAUUUGGAUUAAUACCUCAUAGUAUUUUUGAAUGGCAUCAUUUGAUUAUUAAAGUUCCAACGGUAAAAGAUGAGUAUGCGUCCCAUUAGCUAGAUGGUAAGGUAACGGCUUACCAUGGCAACGAUGGGUAGGGGUCCUGAGAGGGAGAUCCCCCACACUGGUACUGAGACACGGACCAGACUCCUACGGGAGGCAGCAGUGAGGAAUAUUGGACAAUGGGCGCAAGCCUGAUCCAGCCAUGCCGCGUGCAGGAAGAAGGUCCUAUGGAUUGUAAACUGCUUUUAUACAGGAAGAAACAACAUUACGUGUAAUGUCUUGACGGUACUGUAUGAAUAAGGACCGGCUAACUCCGUGCCAGCAGCCGCGGUAAUACGGAGGGUCCAAGCGUUAUCCGGAAUCAUUGGGUUUAAAGGGUCCGUAGGCGGCCAAAUAAGUCAGUGGUGAAAGCCCAUCGCUCAACGAUGGAACGGCCAUUGAUACUGUUUGGCUUGAAUUAUUAGGAAGUAACUAGAAUAUGUAGU
rnacentral:rRNA from 1 species